rnacentral:rRNA from 1 species
GACGGGGCCCGCACAAGCGGCGGAGCAUGUGGAUUAAUUCGAUGCAACGCGAAGAACCUUACCUGGGUUUGACAUAUACCGGAAAGCUGCAGAGAUGUGGCCCCCCUUGUGGUCGGUAUACAGGUGGUGCAUGGCUGUCGUCAGCUCGUGUCGUGAGAUGUUGGGUUAAGUCCCGCAACGAGCGCAACCCUAUCUUAUGUUGCCAGCACGUUAUGGUGGGGACUCGUAAGAGACUGCCGGGGUCAACUCGGAGGAAGGUGGGGACGACGUCAAGUCAUCAUGCCCCUUAUGUCCAGGGCUUCACACAUGCUACAAUGGCCAGUACAGAGGGCUGCGAGACCGUGAGGUGGAGCGAAUCCCUUAAAGCUGGUCUCAGUUCGGAUCGGGGUCUGCAACUCGACCCCGUGAAGUCGGAGUCGCUAGUAAUCGCAGAUCAGCAACGCUGCGGUGAAUACGUUCCCGGGCCUU